AGAUUGAACGCUGGCGGCAUGCCUUACACAUGCAAGUCGAACGGCAGCACGGGAGCAAUCCUGGUGGCGAGUGGCGAACGGGUGAGUAAUAUAUCGGAACGUGCCCAGUCGUGGGGGAUAACGCAGCGAAAGCUGUGCUAAUACCGCAUACGAUCUAUGGAUGAAAGCGGGGGAUCGCAAGACCUCGCGCGAUUGGAGCGGCCGAUAUCAGAUUAGCUAGUGUGGGUAAAGCCUACAAGGCGACGAUCUGUAGCUGGUCUGAGAGGACGACCAGCCACACUGGAACUGAGACACGGGUCCAGACUCCGUACGGGAGGCAGCAGUGGGGAAUUUGGACAAGUGGGGAACCCUGAUCCAGCCAUCCCGCGUGUGCGAUGGAAGGCCGUUCGGUUGUAAGACUACGUUUGGUACGAGGGAAGAACGGCGUACGUACGUUAAGUACG
rnacentral:rRNA from 1 species